UACGGGGGGGGCAAGCGUUGUUCGGAAUUACUGGGCGUAAAGGGCGCGUAGGCGGCCUGAUAAGUCGGGGGUGAAAUCCUGUGGCUCAACCACAGGGCUGCCUCCGGGACUGUCGGGCUCGAGCACAGUAGAGGCAGGUGGAAUUCCCGGUGUAGCGGUGGAAUGCGUAGAGAUCGGGAAGAACAUCGGUGGCGAAGGCGGCCUGCUGGGCUGUUGCUGACGCUGAGGCGCGACAGCGUGGGGAGCAAACAGG
rnacentral:rRNA from 1 species